AGUAUGAAAUAUCAGUUCUAUUUGCGCCUAUCCAACUCACAACAAACGUAGCUCUAAGAUCUUGACAAGAAUCCGCCACGGGUUAAUAACUGUAUGAUAUUUCGAUAUCACCUUGCUUAACCACUCUAUCCACAGUCCACUCUCUGCUCUCCGUCACCUCCACUGUGGGUAAAAAUGGCGUCGACCAGUGCCCUUACUUCUCAGUUCCCAAAAUCUAUGCCGACCUCAGACAGAUUAAAGACCAACUCAUCUCCAGUUGGCAUAUGCAUUUUAUCUCGAUCUUGUCAUCAGAAGCUCAUCGAAAAACGACAACCUAUUCAAAUUUGCUGUCUAUUCGGUGGAAAGAAAGAUAACAGCGAAAAGAGCGAAGAUGCACCUUCAAAGGCAGGUAUUCUGGGAGGAAUGCAGAAUUUGUAUGAGACUGUUAAGAAGGCACAAAUGGUUGUUCAGGUUGAGGCAGUAAGAGUGCAAAAAGAACUUGCAGUAGCAGAGUUCGAUGGUUACUGUGAAGGAGAGCUCAUUAAGGUAACUCUAUCUGGUAACCAACAACCUAUACGCACUGAAAUUACAGAGGCUGCAAUGGAGUUAGGACCUGAAAAACUUUCGCUUUUGAUCAACGAGGCGUACAAAGAUGCACAUCAGAAGAGUGUCCUUGCCAUGAAGGAAAGAAUGAGUGAUCUUGCUCAGAGCUUAGGAAUGCCUCCCGGCCUGGGCGAGGGGCUUAAGCAAUGACUUCUUUCAGAGGCAUACAAUGAGGAGAGCUUCAGUUUGUGCACUAGCGAAAGAAAGAAAAUAAGGGGGUGUUUCCAGACAUGAAUACCUGUCCUUUUGUCCCCAGAAUCCUUGAGAUUGGAGCUUGUGUUUGUGUAAGAAAAACCAACGCCAGCCGGUGAUUCAAGAAAAAGAAUAUUUGCCACUGUAAGUACGCAAUGUUCAGACAGGUAAAUGUGUGUUCCUCUGCUGUAACUAUUACCGGGAUUGGUUUAAAUUAAUUGUCGCUUUAUUGGUUUAAAUAACACGUUAGAUCUACAUAGCAAAUGAUUUCAAUUUACUAUUAUCUGUUGACUGUUCUCAUUACCUCUAUUCCACGAGUAUUUGUUCAAAUACAACGACGAGCCGGUCUUGUUUA